GUCCGGCAGCUGUGAUGGCGGCGCCCCUGGGAACGGCCCAGGGCGCGGCCAUCUUGACCCAGGCUCUGCCGUACGGAAGGGACCCCGGGCUCGCGGCGGACUCGGAGGCGGGUGCGCUGGGGGUUCUUCCGAGAGUCCUGGAGUGUGCAGGAGGAAGCUGUGAUUUGAUGGGAUAUCACUCCCAUGAUUAGAUCCCAAAGCAGUUGAUUUCGAGAUCAUAAAAAAGAAGAUGAUCCUGGAAUCCACUAUCCUCCAUGGAGACAGACACCAUCAAGGACAAGCACCUGGAUCAUCU